UGAAAAGUUAACAUUAGCAGUUCUAUACAGGCGAAAAUAGCAGCAUGUCUUUUUCUAUCCUGAAACGACAAAUCGGCGAGGAAAACCGUCGGUUUAAUCCUGCGUGGACUGACAAGUAUUUAUUUAUUUACCACCAAGUCCGAACGUCAAACCAAUGUGUUUACUCUGCAACGAGUGCUUUGCAGCGCUGAAAGAUUAUCAUGUCCGAAGACACCACGUUGAAAAACAUGCCGCGUUUCGGACAAACUUUCCCGAGGGAUGUCAUGAGAGAGCGGCUAUAAUUCAGAGUUUGACUGCAUCUUACAACCGGAGCUGUACUACAAUGAAGCGGACCUGCACAGCUCAGGAAAGGGCCACGAAAAAGAGGCCGUUCACAGACUCAGAAACUGUGAAGGACUGCAUGUUGGCUGUCGUGGAUGAAGUUUUAACGGACGAUAAAGUUAAGACGAGUGUGACAUCUGCUAUCAAACAGGUAGUUUUAUGUAUUUAUGUGACUAUUUUCUGUUCACUUAUUAGAAGUUUAAUAUUUAAGAAAGACAUUUUGUUUUGACAGUUAUUUCACUUAGUUGCACUUUAUUAUGCACUUUGAUGUCAGCUUUAUUUCGUUUCAAAGGGAUAGUAACUAUCACUGUGCCUACUGUUUAUUUUUUUGAUUAUAUGCACUGAAGAUGUGACUGUCUCAGAUGAGACCAAAUAUGGACAGGGACAAACUCUGUUUUUUGUUAUUUCAAAAGAAGAAAAAUGUCUCAAGUUCUGAAAAGUUACUGUUAAGCAAGUUACUUUUUAAUGCACUUUGAGAUGUGACCAAAACAAAAGAUGGUGUUUCUAAUCUGCACUUAGUUUUUAUGUUCAUAUGCACCUUAACCUGUGCUUAUAUUUACCUAUCAAAAUGUGUUGAAGUUGUGUGUUUGAAAUGUAAAAUUUAAAGAAGCAGUAUUUCAGCACAGGUUUAGUUUAAGUACUGCUCUUCUAUUGUGUUUAUGUCCUUUUGGAUGUGGCAAUACGUUUAUAAACAUCCAGUGUGUUUGUUA